AUGAACGCUGGCGGCGUGCCUAACACAUGCAAGUCGAACCGGUAACAGGCUGUAUGGGAUCCCUUCGGGGUGAACUUGGCGCUGACGAGUGGCGAACGGGUGAGUAACACGUAGGAAUCUACCCAGGAGUGGGGGACAACCCGGAGAAAUCCGGGCUAAUACCGCAUACGCCCUACGGGGUAAAGUGGGGGACCUCUUCGGAGGCCUCACGCUUUUGGAUGAGCCUGCGUCGGAUUAGCUUGUUGGUGAGGUAACGGCUCACCAAGGCGACGAUCCGUAGCUGGUCUGAGAGGAUGACCAGUCACACGUGGGACUGAGACACCGGCCCAGACCUCCGUACGGGAGGCAGCAGGUGGGGAAUUAUUGGAACAAGUGGGGGCAACCCCUGAUCCAGCCAUGCCGCGUGUGUGAAGAAGGCCUUCGGGUUGUAAAGCACUUUCAGUAGGGAAGAAAAGCACAAGGCUAAUAUCCUUGGGUAUUGACGGUACCUACAUAAGAAGCACCGGCUAAUUCCGUG
rnacentral:rRNA from 1 species